GCAGCCGCGGUAAUACGUAGGGAGCGAGCGUUGUCCGGAUUUACUGGGUGUAAAGGGUGCGUAGACGGCUAAGCAAGUCAGAAGUGAAAUCCAUGGGCUUAACCCAUGAACUGCUUUUGAAACUGUUUAGCUUGAGUGAUGUAGAGGUAGGCGGAAUUCCCGGUGUAGCGGUGGAAUGCGUAGAGAUCGGGAGGAACACCAGUGGCGAAGGCGGCCUACUGGGCAUUAACUGACGUUGAGGCACGAAAGUGUGGGUAGCAAACAGGAUUAGAUACCCC
rnacentral:rRNA from 1 species